AUGUUCAAAAAUGAGUACCAGGGAGGUGCAUUUGUUGAAAUCUUUAGUGCCCAGGGUAAAAAUCCUGGAGCAAAAUGGAAGAUCCUCGGCAGUCCAUCUGUGAUUUGGAAAGAAUUUGAUAAAGAAGUUAAAAGUUUUGUGUUUGUACUGGAAGGCAGCAGCCAAACAAAUAAAAUACAGUUACCAAAGGAGAAUAAGCAAAUCCUUGGACUGAUCCAGAGGUUUCUUGUACUUCAGAUUUACAUACCCCUGGGACAAGACUUCUCUACUGAAUUGCUAAUUACUGAUUUGAGGAACAUAAAAAGAAGAUUGUAUUUAUCUACAGUCCAUAAGGAAUUGUCUUCAACCCCUCUUCAUGCAAAAAUCCCACUCUUCAUGAUCAAGCGCAGAAUUUGGUGCAAUCUAUGCAUUGACUUGGUGGCAUUUACCAAUGAAAUAUUCAAAGGAGCAGUUUUCCAGUCACUGGAUGGAAUUACUGUCUCAGCGAACUGUAAGCUACGAAAGAUCUUCACUUUAAAAUACAAGCCUCAAGACACUGCUGAUAAAGAUGGUAUGUUCAAACUACUAUCAAGAUGUUUUACUUCUCCGUUUUAA
rnacentral:lncRNA from 1 species